CACGUAGGGCGCAAGCGUUGUCCGGAAUUAUUGGGCGUAAAGAGCUCGUAGGCGGUCUGUUGCGUCCGCUGUGAAAACUCGGGGCUUAACCCCGAGCCUGCAGUGGAUACGGGCAGACUAGAGGUAGGUAGGGGAGAAUGGAAUUCCCGGUGUAGCGGUGAAAUGCGCAGAUAUCGGGAGGAACACCGGUGGCGAAGGCGGUUGCCUGGAGCUUUGCUGACGCUGAUGCGCGAAAGCGUGGGGAGCGAACAGG
rnacentral:rRNA from 1 species